CGCCACUCUCUCAUCACCCAUCACCAGCGCCGCUAUCCUCUUCCCGUUGAAUCACACACCACCUCGGCUGGAGUCCCAAAUCACCGGAGCAAUCACCAUAUGUCCACCCUAACGUCGAGGAAAUGAGGUUGUAUGGGUUGCUACCAUCGUUUUCUUGUUAACUGCCAUUCAGCCUUCGCUGCCAUCUUCUCCCCUUUUGUUGCCGAUGAGGCUUGCUGCAAGCCAUUGUACUGCCGACGUGAGUCAGCCAGGAAGACCGGAGGUGCCGGGGUUGAUUCUGUCAUGCGCCAAACUCGUCGAAGCAGAAGUCGCCAAUGCUGCUGUCGUCUAGAGGUUUCUCAACAUCAUCGACGCCCUGCUUCUGUCGCAUGCCGCCAUGACAUGGAGGCCGAGCUCGUGAUUGUUAUGCGAUGGCGUGAGUGGGGGGAGGGUUCUGUCGGGUGAAAGGCAUGAAGAACCACCAUGGCAGCCGGCCAUGGUGGCUGCGACCAUCAACGUCACUGCUGUCCGCUAAUUCUGGGGUAUGUCAUUGCCGCCGCCUACUGCAUUUCUUUCCGUCGCCACCAGCCACCGUGGAAGGUGGCUGCGUGCAAAUUUUUCUAUGUGUUAGGCAUGUGAUUUGUUGCAAUAUUGUGCUAGGUGUGUGUGUGUGUGUGAUUCAAUCGUGUCUCACAAGCUUAAGGGUGUCUUAGAUUUGCCGCUGCCGGAAAACCAAGGAAGAACCACCAUGGCUGUCGGCCAUGGUGGCUGCCGCCGUGUACCACCACCGACCACCACAAGGGUGGUUGUGGGUGUGUGUUAUUUUAUUAUAUUGUGUGUGUGUGUUAUUUUGUGAGUUUAUUGUAAUUGCAAAAUUUGGAAUAAUGAAUGGAACUCAAACCACCACCGUGAGGUGGUGGCUGCCGCCACCGGCCGCCGUGUCGGGUGGCGGUUUGCUUUGAUGGUGUUUGGACUCGUUUGGAUAAUUGGACAAGGGGCUAAAACCCUACUGGGCCUUAAAACCCUAAUGGGCCCAAUGAAGCUUAAUGGGCUCUAAUGGACCCAAUAAAACCCUAAUGGGCUUAAUAAUAUUUUAGUGGGCUUAAUAGGCCCAAUAAAGCCCUAAUUGAUCUAAAAGCCCAAAAAAUUAAUUAAUGGGCUAGUAUUGGGUUAGAAACCCUAAUUACGGUUUGGAAAACCCUAAUGCCAAUGAAAGCCUAACUUUAAGAAUUAAUCGGGUCACACACACACAAGAAUUAUUUAAUAACUUGAGAUAUUAAAUAAUAAACUUUGGCAAAGAUUAAUCUAAGCGCUAAUGGACUUAAUGGAUUAAGUCCUUAAUGGGUUAAGUAGGGAACUUAACCCUAAUCAUCAUUUUAUGUGAAACCCUAAUUUCACUUGGGUUUAUUGUUGGGCCUUUUAUCGGGCCUUGAUGAUUGGGUUAUUAAAUGGGCUAUCCAAGAUCAAGCAAAUGGUCUAGAGUAAUUUAAUGGGCCUAGGGUAAGGCCCAUGUAAGGGGCUUGGGCCCAAUUUGGAAAAAUGGGCCAUAGUUUGGGCCUUAAUGAUUAUAUGAUGUUGGGCCUUAGAAUGAGACCAUGUAUAGGCCUAGGCCCAAUUUGGAAAAUUGGGCCAUGUGUUGGGCUUUGACUCCUAGUUCACUUUGGGCCAACGGAUUGGGCCUUGGGCUUGAAUAAGCCAAGCUUGGGGUAAUGUAAUUAUCCAAAGUAAGUGUUUAUGGUUAUGUAUUGGGACCCAAUUAUUAAUUGGCUGUUAUUUUGGUGUUGACAGUUCGGGAAUCUGUAAGCCCGUAGCUAGGGUCGAGUCUACGGGACUUCAGCAAGUGUGGGAUUGUGUCUUUGGGACUUACAGUGUGAGGUGAGUUACCUUCUAGUAGCGGUGGGUCUACGGCCACAAAGUCGGGCCCCCNGGCCCACCAGUAGGAAUUGUAUGAUAGAUGUUUGUCUCUGUGAUAUUCAUCUAGGGUUGCUACUAACUGUGAUAUGUUAUUGUGCUAGUAUAAUAUGAUGCUAUGUGCUAGUGACAGUAGGGGGAGAUAGUCCCCCAGAAUACCGGUCGAUAGGGCCGAAGGGGCGGUUAUGUCCAACCAUUCUAGAUAGAUUAUGUGAUAUAUGUGUUAUGUGGUAGUAGUAGGGGUGAAAUAGUCCCCAGUAUCUGGUCGAGAGGACCGAAGGGGAGGCCAGCUCCCAGAUAUGCUAGUCAGUAUCCGGUUGAGAGGACCGAAAGGGAGGCCAGCUCCUAGACAUGCUAGUCAGUAUCCGGUCGAGAGGACCGAUGGGGAGACUAGCACCCAUAUAUGCUAGUCAGUAUCCGGUCGAGAGGACUGAAGGGGAGGCCAGCUCCCAGAUAGACUAGUCUGUAUCCGGUCGAGAUGACCAAAGGGGUAGGUCGGGCACCCAGAUAUGUCUGACAAUAUAUGUAUGUUAUGUUAUUGUAUGGUAUGUGGUAUGAUGGGGAACUCACUAAGCUUCGUGCUUACGGUUUUCAUUUUUGGUUUCAGGUACUUCGUGUUUAGAGGCAAGGAGCCGGCUUGAUCGCAGCGCAUCACACUAUGGUUUUCCGCACAUGAGAUCUUUGGGAUUACACUCUGAUAUUAUUUUAUGAUAACACGUUUGACUAUUUCUACUUUGGUUUUGACGUGACAUGAUAUUACGGAUGUUUUAUUACACUGUUGGUUUAUUAUGACGUAUUUAAAAAUGAAAUUUUUGGCCUGUAUUUUUCGGAUGUUACAAGUUGGUAUCAGAGCCUUGGUUUGAGGGAUUCGGACAUACUCUCGGGUGUCUGAAACUCAAACUAAGGGCUUGGUAUGAAAAUUUUCAAAAGAAAAACCAUUUUUUAAAAAGGAGUUUGAAAAUAAUCUGAAAAGAGAAAAAGAACUUUGAGAAGAACAAAGUGUGUGUGAUGUGUGCAAUCAGCCGAGCUCAAGUAAGUUUUCCCCAAGAUACACAUGCAUGUUAUGAUAUGUUGUGUUACGAUAUGAUUAUGAGAACUGCAUGCUAGAAUAGAGCUAAGGAUCUAGGAGGAUGCCUUAUAUGCCUAUUGUAUGUGCUUGUAGACUUGCAUGCUAGUACUGAUCAGUCAGUAAUAGGAUAGCCUGUUUAGGUUAUGCCUGAUUAUAUGAGCCUUUGAAUUGCAUGUACAGAUUCUCGAUUAGAGGAUAGAAUGAUUUGAAUGGAUUAUGAUGGUUAGAUUUUACAUUGUCUGAAUGCUACUUGCUCUAUGCUUUGUGGGACUCUUAGUAAUGUGAGAUAACUAUUAAGUGAUUAUGUUAGGUCACAUGGGACAGAGGCCAGAUAAUCUCAGAGUGAGAGACUUGACCCUAUUGCGCAGCUCUUGUCUGAGUCUAACCGUUCUAGCGAUGGGUCUUUUACUCGAAGGAUUAUCUGAUCUCUGUUGCAUGUGGCUAUAUUCAUGAGGUAGCUAGUUGACAUUACUGGGAAUCUUUCAGCAGCUGAGGACUGAGCGAGUUCGGGAACCUAGGGAAGCCUAGGAUAUGUUUCAGUGGGUUAGUAGUGAGGCUCAGUUAGACUUGGGUUUACCAGUUGAGGAAGUGACUUAGAGGAUCCGGGAGGAUUGCUGAGGAAAGUAUGGAUAAGUUUGGAAGGUAGUAUUGGGCCCGUACUACUGAAAGCACAGGAACGAUACUCGAAUCAGUGAGAGUCUUGGAGAAUCUAAGAAGCUUCAGGGAAUAGUUUGUGGCCCAAUUUAGGGACAGAGGAUGUUCCAGUUGUUACAGCUUAGCCAUUGGCAAGCGAGCUAGUGUGCGUGACAGGGUGUCAGACCCUGAAGGAUAUGAUUUCCAAGAGUUGCAGAUGCGAGAUUGAUUCGGAGCACCCUGGAAAGAGAGGUGCAUGCCAGGUGCGUAUAGUAGAGGGUCCCAGGAAGAGACCCAUGACUGCUGAACAUCAGGUGAAAGGCCAGCAGGGUCUGAGUCAGUGCAGCGCGUACGAGAAAGUACACAAAGGAGUUUGUCACUCCAAGGGUUUAGGCUGCUACAGGGUAGCAGGAUUGGUUAUAUCAGAAGAAAGUGACCAGUAUUUCCCCAGACGUUGCGAGUAUGUCAUCUUCUAUUGCUACUAGAUGGAUGUUGGGGAUACGUAUCGCGUUGGAAUUGUGAGUGAGUUUGGAUAAGUCAGACCUCGGGUCGGUUUUUCUGCUAGUGUUUGGGUUACCAAGGAUCAUAUAUGCCAUCCUGCAUGCCGAAAAGUCCUUGAUGAACCCAAAGAGGGACGCAUCUUGCGGAGUGGCUUCCGCGCAUACCAUUAUCAUUUCGGAUCUUUGUCGGGAUCUAUGCAGUAGUAUUAUCUAGGGGAUACUCGAUCAGGGUUGGAGUGAUUGUUCUCCAAUGAAUCCAGCGUUCAGAGGUUCUAUCAUUGUUUAGGUAUGGUCGGUAAUUGUUUAUGGAUGAACCUUGGAGUUCAAGGCACUACCGUUGUGAGGAUAGAACUGGUGACAGGAAGAAGGUAGUGUCAGUCACGGGUGUUAGAUGCAUAAGUGGUUGGUCACUGGAUGUUCAAGAGAAUUGUGGUUUCGCAUGGGCUGUGUUCGGUUAGAGUUCAAUGGUACUACAAAAUUGGAAGUGGGAACGAGGAUUCGUCAGCUAGAGUGAAGAUUAAGGUCUUCAAUUGAUAGCAUGAUAAAUGGAUUGAGCUGUCAGACUAGAUCAGAUUUCAAGAGUACUCAUCGAGAAUUCUGAGGAUGGGAGGUCUCAAGGUUUAAUCGGCGAUUAAACGUAAGCAUUCGCAGGAACAUGUUGUCAUCAGUGGGAUAUUAGAAAGCGAGAAGGAUUGGGAACCCUUUAAUUCUCAAGUAAUGUGAAGACUUAGUCGAAUCUAAGUGGGGGAGAAACUUUUUAUAAAGUUCUCCAACAGUGAGUUCUGGUUGCGCAAGGUGCAAUCUCUUGGGCACCUUGUCAACCAGAAGGGUAUUCUAGUUGAUUCGGCCAAGAUAGAGGCCAUGAUACAGUCGGAAAUUCUGAGGUCUCCAUCCGAGAUUCAGAUUUUCCUGGGUAUAGCAAGUUAUUACCGGAGAUUUACAAGGGACUUUUCCGAGAUUGUGGUUCCUUUGACCUGAAUGACCAAGAAGUCAAUGGCCUUUCGUUGGGAGCCGAGCAGCAGGCAGCCUUCGAGGCUCUCAGCCAGCAGUUGUACGAGGCACUGAUUCUCACCCUGCCAGAGGGUGUAGAUAUUUUCGUGGUUUACGACGAUGCUUUGAUCGGGCAUGGGUACGGUACUGAUACAAUGGGGUCACGUGAUAGCAGGUUUUGGGAACCAGGUUAGAGUUUCGGUUAGGACUCGAGUUCAGUUGAGGGUUAGGUCGAGUGCGUGUUCGACCCAGGUUAGAAAGUGUUGUAAGACUACGGGGGUAGCCGUAGCAUUCACUAGACGUCAGUUAGUAUGGAAAGUGUUGUAAGACUACGGGGGUAGCCGUAGCAUUCACUAGCAGUCAGUUAUCAUGGGAAGUGUUGUAAGACUACGGGGGUAGCCGUAGCAUUCACUAGCGAUUAGAUAGUUUUAGAGUGUUGUAAGUCUGCGAGUGUAGCCGUAGCAUUCACUAGCAGCAGAUAGUGUGAGGGGUGGUGUAAGUCUGCGGGUGUAGCCGUAGCAUUCACCAGGUUGGCAGGUAGUGUUAUAGUGUUGUAAUUCUGCGGGUGUAGAUGUAGCAUUCACUAGCAGCUAGAUAGUGAUAGAGUGUUGUAACUCUGCGGGUGUAGCCAUAGCAUUCACUAGGUUGGUAGAUGUCAUGAGCGUGUUGUUGGAACGCGAAAGGAACAAUAGUACCCACCAGUUCGGGGGUAGCAGUAAGGAUAAGGAAAUCCACAGAUAGGAUUUCGGAAUUACCCAGAAGGAUUAGAUCUGGUUGAGCCAGUGAUAGGCCUGUAGGAGCGCCACUACAGUUAUGGGAUCAGGAAAGCAAUGGACUGUAUAAGAUUGCUUGUGAGAUAAGGCUACCAAUUGUCAGGUAGCAACUACUUCCAGCCUUGGAUUUGAUGAUGACAGGAUUCGACGUAUGGAUUCGAUCAGUUAGAUCAGAAAGUUGUUAGGGUCACAGUGUCAUGAUAACUAGUUGCAACUAGUUCCAGAGGAGGAUAUCAUUUAGAAGUCAUGUGAGGCGACUACAUGGGAGUCCUUUGGCUCCGCAGCAGGGCCGGAACCCAAUAUUCCAGAUGAUUGGCGAGUGAAUUGGGACCCAGGAGGUCUCGGUAGCUUGUGGGAAGUAGCCAUGUGGCAGCAUACUGUUUCAGGCAGUUCAAUGUUCGGGCAGUUUCAGCGUCUGGGCAGUGUUAGUACUGGUGUUUGGGGUUGCAAGUACGCACGACAUAGUUGGUUUAUUGGGGAGUGACAAGUCACUUACAACAGGAGUAUCUGGGCCUUGGCCAGGUAUGAGUGAUCUACAGAGAUAAUUAGGUUUAUGAUCCUGUUUUAUAAUGGGAACCUCGAGUUAUCGGAAAUUGAGUAGCCGGUUGAAAGAUAAAGUGGACUGGGUCCAACGAUAUUGAUUCAGUAUGAGUGGUCUGCCAGGGAUUCAGACCAUCUCGAGACAGCAGAUUCAGAUCGAGUAAAUGUUACCUUGUUGCGAGAAAUUCUUUCACCUACAUAUUAUAGGGCAUUGCGAAGAUUGGUCACGGCUACCCUGGGAAGGCUAGGGUGUGCCCAAGAAGAUAACUAUGUUACUAAAGUGGCUUGGUAUGUAAGGAUUGGUAAAGAAUGAUUUCGAGGACGAAAUCUAAUUUAAGUGGGGGAGAGUUGUAAAGCCCCGUUUAUUUAUUAGAUCAAUAAAUAAAAUAAUGAGCGAAUAGUAGCCCUAAAAUCGAUAAUUAUUUAGCAAGGUGUUGAUCUCGAUGAGUUAAUCGUUAUAAUUUUAAAGAUUUCGGGGUUAAAAUGUAAGUUCGGAUUGAUUGGGUGAGUAUUUGUGAAGAGAAGGACCACUCGGAAAAUUAUUGGGACUUAAAAUGGAAUGAUAUGGAAGCAAGGGUUAAAAUGGUAAAUUCCGGACUCAAUUUGUCAGAGUUUUGAGGGCUGGGGGUUAAAAGGGUAACAUAUGGACCUAUUUGAAAGAAAAAUAGAAGAGGGAGGGCUGAUAUCGGUAUUAUGGAAAAGGUUUAAUGGGUGUCGGGUAUAUAAUCCUAAGGAACCCUAACCCUAGGGAUGUUGGUUCCAGCCGCCACUCUCUCAUCACCCAUCACCAGCGCCGCUAUCCUCUUCCCGUUGAAUCACACACCACCUUGGCUGGAGUCCCAAAUCACCGGAGCAAUCACCACAUGUCCACCCUAACGUCGAGGAAAUGAGGUUGUGUGGGUUGCUGCCGUCAUUUGCUUGUUGACUGCCAUUCAGCCUUCGCCGCCACCUUCUCCCCUUUUGUUGCCG
rnacentral:lncRNA from 1 species